GGUGCAGGUGAAUUGUGGGAGUUGUAGUGGGGGCUGAUAAUUAGUGGGUGCAGGUGAAUUAUGGGAGUUGUAGUGAGGGCUGAUAAUAGUGGGUGCAGGUGAAUUAUGGGAGUUGUAGUGAGGGCUGAUAAUAGUGGGUGCAGGUGAAUUGUGGGAGUUGUAGUGAGGGCUGAUAAUAGUGGGUGCAGGUGAAUUAUGGGAGUUGUAGUGAGGGCUGAUAAUAGUGGGUGCAGGUGAAUUAUGGGAGUUGUAGUGAGGGCUGAUAAUAGUGGGUGCAGGUGAAUUAUGGGAGUUGUAGUGAGGGCUGAUAAUAGUGGGUGCAGGUGAAUUAUAGAAGUUGUAGUGGGGGCUGAUAAUUAGUGGGUGCAGGUGAAUUAUGGGAGUUGUAGUGAGGGCUGAUAGUGGGUGCAGGUGAAUUAUGGGAGUUGUAGUGGGGGCUGAUAAUUAGUGGGUGCAGGUGAAUUGUGGGAGUUGUAGAGAGGGCUGAAUAUAUUGGGUGGAGGUGAUUUACGGGAGCUGUAGUCAAGGCUAAUAGUGGGUGGAGGUGAAGUAUGGGAGUUGUAGUGGGGGCUGAUAAUUAGUGGGUGCAGGUGAAUUAUGGGAGUUGUAGUGAGGGCUGAAUAUAUUGGGUGGAGGUGAUUUACGGGAGCUGUAGUCAAGGCUAAUAGUGG